GAUGAACGCUGGCGGCGUGCCUAAUACAUGCAAGUCGAGCGAACGGACGAGAAGCUUGCUUCUCUGAUGUUAGCAGCGGACGGGUGAGUAACACGUGGAUAACCUACCUAUAAGACUGGGAUAACUUCGGGAAACCGGAGCUAAUACCGGAUAAUAUUUUGAACCGCAUGGUUCAAAAGUGAAAGACGGUCUUGCUGUCACUUAUAGAUGGAUCCGCGCUGCAUUAGCUAGUUGGUAAGGUAACGGCUUACCAAGGCAACGAUGCAUAGCCGACCUGAGAGGGUGAUCGGCCACACUGGAACUGAGACACGGUCCAGACUCCUACGGGAGGCAGCAGUAGGGAAUCUUCCGCAAUGGGCGAAAGCCUGACGGAGCAACGCCGCGUGAGUGAUGAAGGUCUUCGGAUCGUAAAACUCUGUUAUUAGGGAAGAACAUAUGUGUAAGUAACUGUGCGCAUCUUGACGGUACCUAAUCAGAAAGCCACGGCUAACUACGUG
rnacentral:rRNA from 1 species